UCUGCAGGACGGGGCCGGAGAGUCGGCGGGGCGUGGGGGACACCCCCCCCCCCCCGCAAGGGACCCAGCCAGGAGAGGGGCCGCCGCCCCGCCGGAGCACAGUCCCGACAGCCAGCGGCCCGGCCGGAGGCCCCCGGAGGCCAUGCCACAAGCCAGCCAGCCGGACACGUCCGGAGCUGGCAGGACGCCUCCCAACCCGCGCGGCCGCGGUGGACAGCAGUUCAGCAGGCUCUCGGGGCCAAACGUGCUUUUACCACGUGAAGUGAGGGCAACGCCCUCCCGAGAACCUAACCCAGAGAGAGGGAAGACGUGCGCCCACAGGGACUCGUCGGGAACGCCCAGAGCGCCCACACCUGUGAUGUCCAAAUGUCUUCAACGGGGACACGGAACACAAAGGAAACCCUAUUUUCAUAGACUACCAUUAACCACUGGGACUCUGCCUUCUCCGGGGGAGCAUCUGCAGACCCCGCCACUCCAUUCGUGGCUCUGUCCAGUGGCCAUCGGCUCCUGGCAUGGGCUGCUCACAGGACUGCAGUCCUGGAAAGGUCAGGGCUGCUCGCAGGGAAGAACCACGUGCCAUGUGCAGUGACAGGUGAGGAUGACCACAGGGGUGCUGCUUCUAGCCUGCCUGACUUUCAUAUUUUGACAUUUCUCCUUUAUGACAAUGAUGCAGAAUGACCAUAGCUCUUCUCGUGUCAUCAGCUACACAGAGCCCUUGGCUACUUAACUCUAGGACAACCUAACCUGAGACCUAGCCUCUGGCUUCUAGGCAGAGGACGGAGCCAUGGAGCCAUGGAGUCAUGUGACCACAGCUGGCAGCCGGCGGAGCUGGACUUGGGACCCACGUCUGUCCCCAGCCUGGGCUCUAAGCCUUGCCUAAGGCAGGAGGGAGCCACACCCUCACGAGUCGAAGUCUGCCUAGCCUGAGGGAGGGGGAGGCCUCUGGCCUUUCCUCUUGUUUCCCACACCUGCAGCCCAAGGGGACUGGCUUGAGCAGAGCGGAAGGACAUGGGGAGUCAGUGUUGGGCAGGGGACAGGCACAAGACAGCCUUCUCUAUCCCGCAGAAAUGCCUCAGAACACACCCUGGCCAGUGUGGGGAGAGGGGCUCCAACAGAGCCAAGUUCCAGUCUACAAAACCCCAGUCCACCCUUGGAGGUGGUCUUAUCUCUGCUUAGCCGGGCAAGAAUCACAAGCCCAAGUCAUGAGUCAGAGGGCAAAAGACCAGGGCCAGGUGGAGUCCCCUAUGGCAGUGGGACCCCCAUCAGGACUACUGGGCUGGCAAGAACCACAGGUCACACAAAUUCCCAUCGAUUCUUUCUUGGCCAGAGGUAGAGGUCAGAAAGGAGAUUGUGGGAGAGAUUCGUGUCCAUUCUCUACGCCACGGCCACUGCUGACCCAGGCGUGGCUGUGACCUGGUCUCUCCAUCAGAGACCACUCUACAACCCGGGGCAGACAGAGGGGCCCUGUAGGCCAGCCCCUGUUCCAGUGCAUCUUGGAGCAGCACCACAACCCACCAUGCCUCUCCCUCUUGCUCCUGGGAGCUCGCCUAAGCCAGCACCACGUCAGUUAAAGGGUUAACUCCAACAGGAGCCUCUCAUCUGACAGCUGCUCUGUUAAAAGCUUCUCUGUGUUCCAGCCCAGACACUGGAAACCGCUCGAAAGGCAGAGAGCUCUUGCUUUCCCAUAAGGAACAAUCUGGGCAGCCAGCCAGGGUCUGAGAGCCUCCAGGCCUACCUGCCCACAGCGUUUUGGGAACUGAGCAGGCUCCCAACAGGCCAGCUGGGGCGAAUAGCCUGCUAACUGAGGGGCUUGGAGAGAGAAGGGACCGAGACUGCCGGACGGUGUCCACAGGAGGCUGGUAGCAGGAAUCUGGGUUAGCACAGCGAGUGGCCCCCUACAGUAGUUUCUGGAGUGGGGCUCCAGGGUUAGUCUGUAAGAGCGCAGACUGGACCCCCACAAACAAGGCUCCUUGUAAAUAUCAUCAGAACUGCUAAGAGAUCUCCUUUGGGGCAGCAGGUGGCCACGGCACAUUCAUGUGGGGACUCUGGGUAACAGGGGCCACCCUGGGAUCACUGUCUGAACGGCAGGGGACUGUUCCUAGGCUUUGGAUAAACAAAGUCUCCAGAGUACUCUGCCAGCUGCGGCAAUGCUGUCUUCUUCCCAGACCCAACUACGGAAGCAACAUGGUCUGAGAGCCUCACCACGGAGGCAGUGUGCCACCAGGAAGUGUGUCUUAUCACUGACAGCAGUAAGAUCGUCAGCAUGUGCUGGGAAGAAAAAGCAGGAAAACUCUGGGACGGCGCUAUUAUCGUUUUGCGAUUCUCCACGACAGACUAUAUGGCCUCUUUGCCGUGACCAGCCCCCCACCCUUGGUAUAAUGCUGUGUUCAGUACAUAAACACACGUUUGUAUAAAGCUUU